rnacentral:lncRNA from 1 species
CACGUGUUCAUUUAAGUGUCACCACACUUUAACUUGUGAGAUCAGCUACUUACUUCACAAGUAAGAAAUGCCACACGUGAUGGUCUAUCCGUAAUAACGAUAUCCGUAUCUCGUUAUUACUUACGACCACGGAUGAUUUAAGAUUCAAUCAGAUGUAAUUUGUAUCUCACAAUCACAACUCCUUGUGAUUAAUAAAUUACAAAUAUUUGAAUCUACGGACUCUAUUAUUUAUUUAAUUGUCUAUUAAUUAAAUAAUAGAUCUGCCAUUUUAAUUGCAUUAAUUAUAUAUAAAAGUAUUUAUGUCCAAAGUCGAUUGGACCUAGGGCAUAAUACUUACAAACUCCCACUUGCACUAGAUCCAAUCACUUAUGUAUCAAAUAUCAUAAGUCUACAUGACGAUCAUGUUUAUACUACGACAACUCUUUGUCAGUGGAUCUGCAAUUUUAUUAAAUGUGGAAAUUUGCUCUUCUCUUUACGUCAUUUCUAUGUAUUAUCUCUCUGAGAUUGUACCAUUUGAAUACAUGUUUGGAUCAUUGAUGAGACCUUAGUUCCUUUGUUUUCGUAAUGGCUCUAUUGUUAUCACAAUACUAUUGUAUGUGAUCAACAAUAUUAGGAACUACUUCAAGUUCAUUUAUGAACAUCAUGAUCCAUAUUGCAACUCUUUGCUACUUCUAAAGUAUCCAUGUAUUAGGUUUCUACUAUUAAAUCAACGGUUACUCCACGUUUGGAACCUUUCCAACAUACCGCUUAAGAGUAAACCAGUUUCUCCAUAUGAAAUCUUCUCAAGAUUUCAUCUAUGUAAAUUGGGAUGAGUUAAGCAAUCUUCUAGAUCUACCUCUAUAGAUCAAGUUGCUUAUCCCAUAUCAUUUAUGAAUAAAUCUUUUAACAACCAUUAUUUCAACGAUUGAAAUAUAGGGAUG